GAGCUGGGCUGCCUGAGUCUGAGGUGUCCGCUUCACGAGCUGAGCUUCCCGAAGACUUCAUACUCGUGGUAGAACCUUCGAGCAAUGAAGAUGUGCAAUAAGCAUAUACACACCACAAGGAUGCAGGCUGGUGCAGGGCGCGCACCGCCUGUCAGAAUGGCCGUAUCGGCGCAUCGAGAUAUAUUUAUAAAAAUCACAUAACCGUAACGUAAAAUUAUAAGACAAAAUUGUUUAAGUUUUAUUCAAGAUUAUUAUUCUUGCUAUAAUUUUCAUAGUUUUUAAAUAAUUAGUUCAUUUCAGUUUGAGAAAUAACGCUUUAUCGUUUUAUUUGAAACGUUCUUAUUGAUUCAAAUCGAUUGAUCGACUGUUUAUUAAUUUGAUUAUUAAAAGAGUUAAAACUUGGUUUAUUAGUUAACCAUAAUUAACUUGAUUGUUUUUAAAGUAAUUAUGAUUGUAAGAAACAAGUGACAAUUCGUAAUUCAGACGUUUUUAAAUGAUUUUCAAUACGACACGCGCGCCCUCUGGCGAACGGAAUUGUCACUUGCGUCACAGAGCGGCCGCUAGUCGGGACGGAGCUCACUUUUGCUCGAGCCGCCGGACCGAUCGGACGUAUCUUGGACCUGUACAAGUUCGUGGAAUAAACUGAGUGAGUUUCA